CCUGAAAAGGCGAUGACCUGUAGCAAUACAGGAGCUAACACAGGUGCUGCAUGGCUGUCGUCAGCUCGUGUCGUGAGAUGUUGGGUUAAGUCCCGCAACGAGCGCAACCCUUAUCCUCUGUUACUCCGCAAGGAGGUCUCUGAGGAAACUGCCGGCGAUGAGCUGGAGGAAAGUGGGGAUGACGUCAAGUCCUCAUGGCCCUUAUGUCCAGGGCUACACACGUGCUACAAUGGAUGCUACAGAGGGAAGCAAGACCGCGAGGUGGAGCCAACCCUAAAGCAUUCGUAGUUGGGAUCGGAGUCUGCAACUCGACUCCGUGAACCUGGAAUCGCUAGUAAUCGUGGAUCAGCUACGCCACGGUGAAUACGUUCCCGGGCCUU
rnacentral:rRNA from 1 species